rnacentral:rRNA from 1 species
GAUGAACGCUGGCGGCGUGCCUAAUACAUGCAAGUCGAGCGAACAGACGAGGAGCUUGCUCCUCUGACGUUAGCGGCGGACGGGUGAGUAACACGUGGAUAACCUACCUAUAAGACUGGGAUAACUUCGGGAAACCGGAUCUAAUACCGGAUAAUAUAUUGAACCGCAUGGUUCAAUAGUGAAUGACGGUUUUGCUGUCACUAAUAGAUGGAUCCGCGCCGCAUUAGCUAGUUGGUAAGGUAACGGCUUACCAAGGCAACGAUGCGUAGCCGACCUGAGAGGGUGAUCGGCCACACUGGAACUGAGACACGGUCCAGACUCCUACGGGAGGCAGCAGUAGGGAAUAUUCCGCAAUGGGCGAAAGCCUGACGGAGCAACGCCGCGUGAGUGAAGAAGGUCUUCGGAUCGUAAAACUCUGUUAUUAGGGAAGAACAAAUGUGGAAGUAACUAUGCACGUCUUGACGGUACCUAAUCAGAAAGCCACGGCUAACUACGUG